rnacentral:rRNA from 1 species
GAUGAACGCUGGCGGCGUGCCUAAUACAUGCAAGUCGAGCGAACGGACGAGAAGCUUGCUUCUCUGAUGUUAGCGGCGGACGGGUGAGUAACACGUGGAUAACCUACCUAUAAGACUGGGAUAACUUCGGGAAACCGGAGCUAAUACCGGAUGAUAUUUUGAACCGCAUGGUUCAAAAGUGAAAGACGGUCUUGCUGUCACUUAUAGAUGGAUCCGCGCUGCAUUAGCUAGUUGGUAAGGUAACGGCUUACCAAGGCAACGAUGCAUAGCCGACCUGAGAGGGUGAUCGGCCACACUGGAACUGAGACACGGUCCAGACUCCUACGGGAGGCAGCAGUAGGGAAUCUUCCGCAAAGGGCGAAAGCCUGACGGAGCAACGCCGCGUGAGUGAUGAAGGUCUUCGGAUCGUAAAACUCUGUUAUUAGGGAAGAACAUAUGUGUAAGUAACUGUGCACAUCUUGACGGUACCUAAUCAGAAAGCCACGGAUAACUACGUG